rnacentral:rRNA from 1 species
UACGUAGGUGGCAAGCGUUGUCCGGAUUUACUGGGCGUAAAGGGCGUGCAGGCGGUCUGUUAAGUUCAGGGUGAAAGCUCCCGGCUCAACUGGGAGAGGUCCUUGGAUACUGGCAGACUUGAGGGAGGUAGAGGAGAGUGGAAUUCCCGGUGUAGUGGUGAUAUGCGUAGAUAUCGGGAGGAACACCGGUGGUGUAGACGGCUUACUGGACCAUAACUGACGCUGAGACACGAAAGCGUGGGUAGCAAACAGG